rnacentral:rRNA from 1 species
UACGUAGGGGGCUAGCGUUGUCCGGAAUCAUUGGGCGUAAAGCGCAUGUAGGCGGCCCGGUAAGUCCGCUGUGAAAGUCGGGGGCUCAACCCUCGAAUGCCGGUGGAUACUGUCGGGCUUGAGUACGGAAGAGGCGAGUGGAAUUCCUGGUGUAGCGGUGAAAUGCGCAGAUAUCAGGAGGAACACCAAUUGCGAAGGCAGCUCGCUGGGACGUUACUGACGCUGAGACGCGAAAGCGUGGGGAGCAAACAGG